rnacentral:tmRNA from 1 species
GGGGUCGACUGGUUUUGACAGCGGGUCUAAUUGAAUUGUAAGCAUGUCGAGCUAUGGAAGUAAUGCUCGUAAAUCUUUAUUCCAACAAUUUUAAAUGGCGAGAAUAACUACGCUCUUGCUGCUUAAUCCGAAUUUAUAGUAGGAUUUUAAGCCACGUUUCCGCAAGGCGGAAAGGCGAGAUGUCUCUGGAUAGCCCUUGUUGACGGCGAUCUUCAUGGAGACACCAUAAAAGUCAACAUAGAAACCAAGCUUGCUUCGGUGCGGUUUCAAAUCACUCAGAAGCUAAGCGUGUAGUGGGCGGUUUUCGGUCAGUUAUAUGUCGAAAAUUAAACGAAAACUAAACAUGUAGAAAGCACUUUGAUUGCUUGUUUGGACGAGAGUUCGAUUCUCUCCGACUCCAC